ACUCCUACGGGAGGCAGCAGUGGGGAAUAUUGCACAAUGGGGGAAACCCUGAUGCAGCCAUGCCGCGUGUGUGAAGAAGGCCUUCGGGUUGUAAAGCACUUUCAGUAGGGAGGAAGGUAGUGUAGUUAACACCUGCACUAUUUGACGUUACCUACAGAAGAAGCACCGGCUAACUCCGUGCCAGCAGCCGCGGUAAGUACGGAGGGUGCGAGCGUUAAUCGGAAUUACGUGGGCGUAAAGCGCAUGCAGGCGGCCUGUUAAGUCAGAUGUGAAAGCCCGGGGCUUAACCUCGGAAUUGCAUUUGAAACUGGCAGGCUAGAGUCUUGUAGAGGGGUUAGAAUUUCAGGUGUAGCGGUGAAAUGCGUAGAGAUCUGAAGGAAUACCGAGUGGCGAAGGCGGCCCCUGGACAAAGACUGACGCUCAGAUGCGAAAGCGGUGGGAGCAAACAGGAUUAGAUACCCCUGGUAGCGACUGA
rnacentral:rRNA from 1 species